GAAUUGUUCGCAAUGGGCGCAAGCCUGACGACGCAACGCCGCGUGGAGGAUGAAGGUCUUCGGAUUGUAAACUCCUGUUGACCGGAAAGAAUGGGCUUCGACCUAAUACGUCGAGGCAAUGACGGUACCGGUUGAGGAAGCCACGGCUAACUCUGUGCCAGCAGCCGCGGUAAUACAGAGGUGGCAAGCGUUGUUCGGAAUUACUGGGCGUAAAGGGCGCGUAGGCGGUCGCCUAAGUCGGACGUGAAAUCCCCAGGCUUAACUUGGGAACUGCGUCCGAUACUGGGUGACUUGAGUUCGGGAGAGGAAUGUGGAAUUCCAGGUGUAGCGGUGAAAUGCGUAGAUAUCUGGAGGAACACCGGUGGCGAAGGCGGCAUUCUGGACCGAAACUGACGCUGAGGCGCGAAAGCCAGGGGAGCAAACGG
rnacentral:rRNA from 1 species